UACAGAGGUCUCAAGCGUUGUUCGGAUUCAUUGGGCGUGAAAGGGUGCGUAGGCGGCGCGGUAAGUCGGGUGUGAAAUCUCGGAGCUUAACUCCGAAACUGCAUUCGAUACUGGCGUGCUUGAGGACUGGAGAGGAGACUGGAAUUCAUGGUGUAGCAGUGAAAUGCGUAGAGAUCAUGAGGAAGACCAGUGGCGAAGGCGGGUCUCUGGACAGUUCCUGACACUGAGACACGAAGGCCAGGGGAGCAAACGGG
rnacentral:rRNA from 1 species